rnacentral:rRNA from 1 species
UACAGAGGUCUCAAGCGUUGUUCGGAUUCAUUGGGCGUAAAGGGUGCGUAGGCGGCGCGGUAAGUCGGGUGUGAAAUCUCGGAGCUUAACUCCGAAACUGCAUUCGAUACUGCCGUGCUUGAGGACUGGAGAGGAGACUGGAAUUUACGGUGUAGCGGUGAAAUGCGUAGAUAUCGUAAGGAAGACCAGUGGCGAAGGCGAGUCUCUGGACAGUUACUGACGCUGAGGCACGAAGGCCAGGGGAGCAAAACGGGG